GAUUUUGCACCCCUCUAGGAAACAAUGUCUGGAGACGAUUUUGAUUGAUUUAACUCAGGAGAUGCUACCAGCAUCUAGUAAAACAGGAAUGUGGCUGAACUCCUUCAUGGAAAGGACAACUGCCCACAACAGAAUUUUCUGGUCCAGACAUCAGUAGUUGCAGGGUUGAGAAAUCCUGCCUUAGAAAGGAAGAAGGCCACGUGAAGAUAGUGAGACACCAGGGAGAAGGAUAUAAGAGUGGAAGCAGAAUCUGCAGUGAUGCAACUAUAAGACAAGAAACACCAAGGAUUGCAGGGAGCCACUAGAAGCUAGGAAGAAGCUUUCAGAGAUGUGGAAGUGGGCAGUGUGGAUGCUACUAGAAGGCAGUCCCGUGGGAGGUAGAGGUGCCCCCACUGCCCAAGAGCACAAAAGAGACAGAAAAAUUGUUAUGCACAGAAUGCACAGUGGUUUGGAGGCAUAUAAUGCUACACCACUUGAACCGAUCUGAGAGCAUCAUGGUGGUAACAACAAGGGUGAUAUUGAUCAUACAGAAAUACAGCCCUAACGAGGAGAUUCUCCUUGCGAAGCAAAAGGCCAGAACCUGACAAGCUCACGCUGCGAAGUCUCACGGAGCCAGCUAACUGAUCCUCCCCGAUGGCACUCUGCCUUUGUGCCUCCUCCCCCGCCAAACUUCAGUGGAAUCUCCAAAGGAACUGAUACUUGAUCGCAUCAUUAAGAUUGAGUGGACCGCAAGCACGUGCCAGAGACAGUGUUCCCAACUGGACCAAAGCAUCCCACCAGAGAAGAACAGACAAAGAAAAGGAAGAAACAGUAAUUCUGGAGCUCUACGGUCUCUCGGUUUGGACUCUAAUUCAAGCUGCUACAUUUCUUGGCCUUGCAAUUCCUGGACUUGAAAAGUUAGUUCUACAAAGCAAAACUGCAUGGCGUAAAGCAUGCCUUAGGUGAUGGAGUAAACCUUUGUCUCGAAAAUCCUGAAGCCUGGAAACAUUCUCACUGAAGAGCUGAUGAGUGUCUCCCUUGGCAAUUCUCUAGGUGGGCUUUGCUGAUGGUCAAACUGGGGGAAGAGCAGACUUGGAGGUCCCUGCAGAAAUCAAGGAGGGACCACUGAGCACGAAAUAAAUGAAAUAAAACAAAACUCUAAAAAGCUCCGUGUUUGCCCACACCCGGAACGGGCUCAGCACAGGCCAGACCCCUCUGUGGAAAGUUGGCUGAACCUUGCCCUCUGGGAGCAAGGAAAAGCGUCUCUCCUGCCAGGAAUGCUGUGUAAACAUCCUUUUCCUACAGGAUCCUGUGGCUUGGGGGUCCAGCGGAGC